GUGGGGAAUCUUCCGCAAUGGACGAAAGUCUGACGGAGCAACGCCGCGUGAGUGAAGAAGGUUUUCGGAUCGUAAAGCUCUUUCGUUAGGGACGAACGUGCUCUUUGUGAAUAAUGAGGAGUAAUGACGGUACCUAAAUAAGAAGCCACGGCUAACUACGUGCCAGCAGCCGCGGUAAUACGUAGGUGGCAAGCGUUGUCCGGAAUUAUUGGGCAUAAAGCGCGCGCAGGCGGGAUAUCAAGUCUGUCUUAAAAGUGCGAGGCUCAACCUCGUGAGGGGACAGAAACUGGUAUUCUUGAGUGUCGGAGAGGAAAGUGGAAUUCCAAGUGUAGCGGUGAAAUGCGUAGAGAUUUGGAAGAACACCAGUGGCGAAGGCGACUUUCUGGACGAUGUCUGACGCUGAGGCGCGAAAGCUAGGGGAGCGAACGGGAUUAGAUACCCCAGUAGUCC
rnacentral:rRNA from 1 species